rnacentral:rRNA from 1 species
CACCUGACCCCAUGCCGAACUCAGAAGUGAAACGCCGUAGCGCCGAUGGUAGUGUGGGGUCUCCCCAUGUGAGAGUAGGGAACUGCCA